AUACCUAGGAGAUUUUUAACAUCAUUAAAUCUCUGGUUGAAGGAUGGCAAGCUUCCUGAAUAUUCAAUACAUGAACUUGCUUGUGGCCUUGUUAGAGCUCUUUUGUAAAUACUUGCAUUCAAAGGGAAUAAUUUACUGUGACUUAAAGCUAUCAAACAUCCUGUUGGAUGAAAAUGGAAUCACAAAGCUGUGUGAUUUUGGAUUAGCAAGAAAAUUG